rnacentral:sRNA from 2 species
CACACAGCUCCACAGAGACAAGAAUAGCACGCCCUUUUGAUCACUGUACAGCAAACUCAGUUGUGGAAUUGACGGUUAUUUGGAUUGAUUGAGUGACCCCACAUAACAAUGGCAAAACCAAGGGAACGAGUACUGGACUUCACACACUCUACCCCGCAACGAGCGCUCAAGCUCCUCGAAUUACCACCCGAAUUGGCAGAGCUCAUUUCCUCCGGGAAUGGAUCCACUCUCUACCUAAAGUCCGGACGAGCCUCCUCCUCCUCCUCUCCCCCCUCGACAUCCAGCGACGCCUAUGUAAACCUCUGUACAACCACCCAAACCUACAUGGUCCGCCAAGUCCACUCCUCGAAUUGCAUAUACCUUACCCAGCCCUGCCGCUCAACCACCCCCCACCAGCCGCAGCAGCCAAAGCCAGAUGCCCCCGCCUGCAUCACAACCAUCGCCAAAUGCAACGCCACGCUCGAACUCGUGAAGAUGGAUAGUAGUAACUCAUACUCCGCGUUCCCAUACCUGCAGCGUGCUCUGCGUGUGUAUAGCGGCACGCAUGCCGAGGAGGGUAGGGAUGUUGAUAUGCUCGAUGGCAGCGAUGGAGAUACGGGGUUAUCUGCGGCUUCUACUAAUACAACGGUGCG